rnacentral:lncRNA from 1 species
GGCAUGUCAAAUCAAGUCUAUUGCAGAAGUUUAAUGCGAACAAGUAGCGAGAUUGCCGAGGCAACCUUUCAAAAGAAAACUAUCCCAACACAUCAAAAGGAUGAUACCAUACUACAAAACAUACAAAAGCAAAGAAAGAAAACAGCUGAGACAUUUCGAGAUAAAACUCUAAAUAGUAAGUAAGAUCACGCAGAAGGGGGGACAUCCUCUCCACCGCUCCCUUCAAUGGGGGCAUCAACAGGAACACUCAAUGUCAAAGAGUUGCUACCCUCGUGAACAACGCUAACAGAAGGGAGAUCCGCCUGGGGUACCUAGGGUACCCCAAAAGACUGCUGUGGGCUGUGAGAUAGUGGAGCCUGGGUUACCCUCUUAUCCUCUAUCGCUUUCAGGAUGGCCGACUUGUCCACCCAUUUCUCCACCCGGGGUACCACCAGCUCUGGGUCGACGCUCCAGACCUCAGUCAUGAUAAGAGUAAAAGCCUUGUCCAUAAUCUCCUGUUGGCGAGAUAGUAGCUCGCCGUGCUUAGACUCCACCUCUUUUAACUUCUUGGACAUUCGGCUGUUCUCCCAGGCGUAGUCGUCCAAACGCCUCUGCAAAGCCCUGACCUCCUCUCCGAGCUUCUCUUCCCGAGACUGGCCGAGUCUGACCUCCCCUCGCAGCCUCUCCAGCUCAGCCUGUGCAGCCGAGAUGCCACUAAAGUCGUGGAAACUGUGGCUGAGGUAGAAGGCCGCCUACACAAAAAUAAUAAUAAUAAUAAUAAAG